CUUCAACGAGCCCAGCCACAGCGGCCGUUCACGCUCCUGGCCGUACGUCGCAAGGAGGGCCUGUGCCUC
rfam:Streptomyces albus strain DSM 41398, complete genome.